AACGGACAGAGCCCGUGAAUCUGGGCGGCGGAAUUCAGGAUGGCGAGCGUGCUCUUGCGGUGUGCUGGUCGUUUGAUAUUUCCGUCGCCAUCACUCACAGACGUCGCGACCUGUUCGCGGUCGGUCCCUGCUCGGAGGAGCUGCGUUCGAGUUCGUUGUGUGCGCGUUUCGGCGUGCCACACGGCGAAGGCGUGGAUCUCUGGCUGGCCGUCGGACAGUAUGCUCAACGGUGUCCGGUGUCGUCGUCUCGUACGCGCGCGCACCGGUACCGGUCAGCGACGAAUUCUUCGGGCCUCUUUCC
rnacentral:rRNA from 1 species